GACGAGGGACCUAGCGUUGUUCGGAAUCAUUGGGCGUAAAGCGGGUGUAGGCGGACUUAUAAGUCAGGUGUGAAAUCCCAGGGCUCAACCCUGGAAGUGCACUUGAUACUGUAAGUCUUGAGUGUGGUAGAGGCUAUUAGAAUUCCGUGGUGUAGUGGUGAAAUACGUAGAUAUCAGGAGGAAUACCGGAGGCGAAGGCGGAUAGCUGGGCCAACACUGACGCUGAGACCCGAAAGCGUGGGGAUCAA
rnacentral:rRNA from 1 species